rnacentral:lncRNA from 1 species
CUCUCUGUUAUCAGAACUUCACAGGAAAACUGUUGGUUUUCACCCUUCUGAGGAAAUCUUUUCCACUUAAGCUCAUGACUCUCCUUUGCCUCUUUUAAUCUUGGCAGAAAGUCCUCCCCAACCUGAAGCUUAAACAUGCUUGGAGAUGUCUGCAGGAAUACUUGAGUGUUAUUCUGACAGCGUAAAAAAAACAAGGAAAGACUUCUGUGGACACUCAUAACUGCUCCAUUGAACCAAGGCAGCUGCUGAAGACAGCACUUGGCCUGGACAUAUCUGCUGAUGCUCAUGGUGUGUCUGUGGUCUGCGUGUCUGUGUGUCUGCCCCACCCCACAGAGCCCCAGCGCCAGACAGAAACUUCUGAUUGCUUUUGAUGGCCUUGACUGCCUGACCAUACAAGCAUCACAGAUCCGCAACACUGGAAUCUCUGAGAGCUGCUGGACCAGAAAUUUUAUCUAUUAACUAAUUGGAAGUGCCUUAGAUGUGAGAAGCAGUGUUUGACAUUCUGUGUGUGUGUUCAGGUUUUUAAUUUGAUCCUCAUUAAUCGUUACUGUUUCCAUGUAGCUCACACUCACACACUGGUUAUUUCAUCUUCCAUAAAUCCCUGAGAUAUGGAGGGGGUGGUCAGUGCUGUGUAACAGGCUAUUCCAGAUAAGAACUAUUUUGUACCAGGUGAAAUUUAUCUGAAGUCAGUGCAGAGAGCAGCAGAGGAAAAGUGAUAAAAAUGCAUAUUCAGUGUUGCUAGUGUAGUGGAGGUGUAACUACUUUCACCUCAGGAAUAUGAAAGCUCUUGGAGCAUCUUUUGAAUGUUAAUUCUUAUACCAUUGUUUUCAGAGAUCUAUUUUACCUAUUUAUCAGAGUGAAGAAGUAUCUUUAUUUUCCUCUCUGCAGCUGCCACAACAUAGAGUAGGAGCAGGC